AUGUCCUUGUGUUAUUUGCAAAUCGGAAACCGUUGAUUUGUGAUUGUCAAAAAGGACAAACAGCAAAGCCGGUCCUCAUCGUUUUUUGUGUUCCUUUGACCUUUAGACGUGUUUGAUUUGGCGACAUUG